UACGUAGGGUGCGAGCGUUGUCCGGAAUUACUGGGCGUAAAGAGCUCGUAGGCGGUCUGUCGCGUCUGCUGUGAAAACUCGGGGCUUAACCCCGGGCCUGCAGUGGGUACGGGCAGACUAGAGUGCGGUAGGGGAGACUGGAAUUUACGGUGUAGCGGUGAAAUGCGUAGAUAUCGUAAGGAAGACCAGUGGCGAAGGCGGGUCUCUGGACAGUUCCUGACGCUGAGGCACGAAGGUCAGGGGAGCAAACGGG
rnacentral:rRNA from 1 species